UACAGAGGGGGCAAGCGUUGUUCGGAAUUACUGGGCGUAAAGGGCGCGUAGGCGGCCUGCUAAGUCGAACGUGAAAUCCCUGGGCUCAACCCAGGAACUGCGUCCAAUACUGGUUGGCUUGAAUCCGGGAGAGGGAUGUGGAAUUCCAGGUGUAGCGGUGAAAUGCGUAGAUAUCUGGAGGAACACCGGUGGCGAAGGCGGCGUUCUGGACUGCAACUGACACUGAGAAACGAAAGCCAGGGUAGCAAACGGG
rnacentral:rRNA from 1 species